UACGUAGGGGGCAAGCGUUGUCCGGAUUUAUUGGGUUUAAAGGGUGCGUAGGCGGCCCUGUAAGUCAGUGCUGAAAUAUCCCAGCUUAACUGGGAGGGUGGCAUUGAUACUGCGGGGCUAGAGUACAGAUGAGGUAGGCGGAAUUGAUUGUGUAGCGGUGAAAUGCAUAGAUACAAUCAAGAACACCGAUUGCGUAGGCAGCUUACUAGGCUGUAACUGACGCUGAGGCACGAAAGCGUGGGGAGCGAACAGG
rnacentral:rRNA from 1 species